AUAUUAACUCACCAACCUGGUGUGGUAUACAAUGGCCCUUUCCUGGCUAAACAUACAUGACCUAUAAUAGAGGUUUUUAACCGCCACUCUGAUUUACCUCUAGUACUUACUUGAUGAUCAGACUGAGAAAGUAUUUGUUGUUCAUCUGUCUCAGAACCAGGGUACCAUACUUCCUUUGCCUCCCAUGGCCACUGGUCUCCCAUAUUAGUACCUCCACAUACAAAGCAAUUAGUUACAUUAAGACUACCCGCAAUACUCUCAGCCAAAUCAAUAAAUAGGUUCUUAACAUUAUGGGGAAUUUUAUCCUCACCACUCAUCUCCUCAUAGAAGGAAUGAAAAACCGGAUGAGUUUGAGUUGUUAUCGUCUCAGUUUCAAG